UUACGGCUAUAUCACGUUGAAAUACCGAUUCUCGUAUGAUCACCGAAGUUAAGCAACGUCGAGCCUGGUCAGUACCUAGAUGGGUGACCGCUUGGGAAUGCCAGGUGCUGUAA